GACGAACGCUGGCGGCGUGCUUAACACAUGCAAGUCGAACGGAAAGGCCCUGCUUGCAGGGUACUCGAGUGGCGAACGGGUGAGUAACACGUGGGUGAUCUGCCCUGCACUUCGGGAUAAGCCUGGGAAACUGGGUCUAAUACCGGAUAGGAGCCAUUUUUAGUGUGAUGGUUGGAAAGUUUUUUCGGUGUAGGAUGAGCUCGCGGCCUAUCAGCUUGUUGGUGGGGUAAUGGCCUACCAAGGCGGCGACGGGUGGCCGGCCUGAGAGGGUGGACGGCCACAUUGGGACUGAGAUACGGCCCAGACUCCUACGGGAGGCAGCAGUGGGGAAUAUUGCACAAUGGGCGCAAGCCUGAUGCAGCGACGCCGCGUGGGGGAUGACGGCCUUCGGGUUGUAAACUCCUUUCGCUAGGGACGAAGCUUUUUGUGACGGUACCUAGAUAAGAAGCACCGGCUAACUACGU
rnacentral:rRNA from 1 species